AGAUUGAACGCUGGCGGCAGGCCUAACACAUGCAAGUCGAGCGGUAGAGAGGUGCUUGCAUCUCUUGAGAGCGGCGGACGGGUGAGUAAUGCCUAGGAAUCUGCCUAGUGGUGGGGGAUAACGUUCGGAAACGGACGCUAAUACCGCAUACGUCCUACGGGAGAAAGCGGGGGACCUUCGGGCCUCGCGCCAUUAGAUGAGCCUAGGUCGGAUUAGCUAGUUGGUGAGGUAAUGGCUCACCGAAGGCGACGAUCCGUAACUGGUCUGAGAGGAUGGUCAGU
rnacentral:rRNA from 1 species